GCCCAAAGUCGCACGUGCCUGUGGGUGUCCGCUGGUUCCCAAAUGGUGGGAUUAACCGGUACGGUACCUGGAACUAACCGCUCCAGUCAUUCUUGCGGCCAAUCGAAAGAAUGAGGACAUCUUGAAGCAACGACGGUGCGGGCCUUU
rfam:Bartonella bacilliformis KC583, complete genome.